rnacentral:rRNA from 1 species
GGCGUAAAGCGUGCGUAGGUGGUCGUUUAAGUCCGUUGUGAAAGCCCUGGGCUCAACCUGGGAACUGCAGUGGAUACUGGACGACUAGAGUGUGGUAGAGGGUAGCGGAAUUCCUGGUGUAGCAGUGAAAUGCGUAGAGAUCAGGAGGAACAUCCAUGGCGAAGGCAGCUACCUGGACCAACACUGACACUGAGGCACGAAAGCGUGGGGAGCAAACAGGAUUAGAUACCCUGGUAGUCCACGCCCUAAACGAUGCGAACUGGAUGUUGGGUGCAAUUUGGCACGCAGUAUCGAAGCUAACGCGUUAAGUUCGCCGCCUGGGGAGUACGGUCGCAAGACUGAAACUCAAAGGAAUUGACGGC